UGGAAAAAAGACAAGAAAUAGAAAAAUAAGACACUUUGGAAAAAUAAUUCAGAAGCCGUUUAGUAUAGGUAGAUAGAAAUAAAUAUGUUGUGAUGGUUAAGUCUGGAUUUUGAAUUUGGUUUUGAACAGAACAGUCAAGUAGUCUCACUCUCCAUCAACACGAGAAUAGGGGUACUUGGGGGUAAGAACUGGUUCAAAAUUCCAUGUGAUGAAACAUGGCUAUUGAGUCAUUAGCAUAGCUGUUAAGUUUUAUUUAUUUAAUGUAUGGCAUCUACAGAAGCCAUGCAAUCAUUGAUAUACAAUGAUUUUAGUUUAAAUAAAGCAUCAGCACAGUGAGGGAGGAAGGGAAUAUAAAAUUAAGAUAAAACCGUAAGAAGAUCACCAUAAUAUGGUGCCAUAGAAUUGCAAUGGGAUAGAUAUUAUAAUUUGAUAUCAAAGGAAGCUAAUCAUUUUAACUGUUUCUGUUGUGGCUGCGAUGAGAUCACCUCAGGGAUACGAAGUGUAGGCUACUGGGUGGCUCCCACCCCCGAACCUGACCCCAUGCCCGAAAGUGCCUUGGAGCCAGGCCUGCUGCCAGAAAGUGACUUGGACAGUGAGUGGGAAGGGCCGUCAGGACUUAUGUCGGAAGCACCGGUCUCCCUGGCUCAGCUCCAGGAGCCAGAAGCAGGCCAGGUGAAAGAGAUAACGAGGCCUCCUUCUCCUGACUCUUUCUCCCCCAGGCCACACCUGCAGACCCAGCUGACAGCAAUCAGGCUUGGCUGAAUCCUAGGUUUCGUAGGCAGGAGAAAAGGGAACAACAGAAGCAGGGGAGGGGCUGGCCUAGGAAGUGCUGAGUCAUGGAGCCACACCCCACAGGAUAUAAAAGGCAGCAGGAGCUGGGGUGUCUCUUUGUAUCAGGCAAAUCCAUGGAUUGACUAGAGCUGAAGGUUGUGACUCACCAGCGUCUUGGCAGCUAACGAAGGCUCUUGGUAGACUCUGGCUCUUUUGCUGCCAGAGCUGAUAAGAGCCGGCUAAUUAAGCCAUUGUUCAGACAGAGGCGAAGAGGACAUAACAGCUACCUCCACGAUAGUAUAUUCCAUCAGAGCAGCUAAAAGUCUAUACACACAGCGACCGAACUGGAUAUUGCAUCCCUCACUGUGCAAAACUAUGGAAACAGCAAUUAGAUCACAACUGUCCUUUAAGGACUCACUGAAAAUAUAUAUUGGACGCCAGAUCCAUAUUUUGUAACUAAACAUAGAAUACUUAAGUAGAAAUAAAUGUGAGUACCUAAGCAGACUAGCAAUAGAUAAUACGAUAGAUUUUAUAGCACUACAAGAGAUACAUUUGGCUGACGAGGAACAGUUUAAGGCUGUUAAAUGCCAAACCUUUAUUAGCAAGGCUUACCCAUUCACACCUAUUGUUUGGCUGCUCAAUAUGGGACCCAUGAACAUCAAUGAGCCACAUGUGCUCUGCUGAUUUUUAGAGAUUAUUUUAAUGAAAAAAUGGCAAAUGGCCAGACAUAAGUAGAAAACAAUGUGUCGUGUCCCACUCCUCCGCUGACGGCCGGGUCGGGGAAGUCCAUAUCAGGCGUGCCUCUGCAGCUCUGCCAAAGUCCUAGCAAAGUUCUCAAGGCAGGCAGGAGACCAGAAAGUGACUUCAGCAAUAUAAGGUAGACUUUGCCUGACUCAGAGAAUGCCAGAAAGCAGAUCCUUUAUAUAGGCCAUGGGUUUAAUACUGUUUUAUACUGUUUCUUUGCAGCUUGAGGAAAAAGGAUUCUUUUGUUUACAAGAAUACAAUGUUGUAUUGUGGUUUUACAAUACCGGUGUCUAAUGAGGUGAGGAAAAAUCUCUAUCAGGAGGAUUUCAAGGUCUCUGGAAGCAGCCUUUCUUGUUCCAUUGCAGCAGAAUCAAUACUAGGAAAUCUGAUAAAAUGGUAUUGGCACUAAAAUAUAGUGAACCAAUGAAAUACGUUUCAUUGUUUUUAUGUAAGUAGUCUGCAAAUCUGUUUUAUGAUCUUCCCCUUGCCAGGUAAGGUCCAUCGUCUCGUCUGUAAACUGUACAUGACAACUCUAAUAAAAAUGCUGUUAUUUUUUUUUUUGGACAUAUUCUUGCCAUCAAGAUUUAGAGAAUAUGAAUAUAUGCAACGAAACAGCAUUCCAUUCCCCAAAAAGUCCAUAUGUACAGAAGAUUUCCUUUAGAGCAGGGGUGAAAUCUAAAAAUUUUCCCUGUCGGUUCUGUGGGUGUGGCUUAAUUGGUGGGCGUGGCUUGGUGGUCAGAUGACUGAGUGGGCGUGGUCAAUAACAAUAAAUAAUAAAAAUAACAAAAUAUACAAAACAAUAAGAGGUACCAAAAACCAACUUUCACACUUUACACACAACACAACACAACACAACACAACACAACUGACUCACACACAAUGUAAAAGCAGCUGCACUUCACCCAAAAUGACCCCUGCAACAAGCAGGAACCUCACACUUUCACACUUUACACACACACAACACAACUGACUCACACACACACAAAAUGCCACAUACAGCUUUGUGAGAUUUUGUGUGUUUGUGUCGUUAGAGUGAAACACUACAGAAACACACCAAAUCUCAGAAAGUUGCACAAAUAUUUUAUUUUAUUAUUUUUAUUUAUUUUUUUAGAUCAGGGGAUCUCCAACUUUAGUACUUUAGGUUUGUAGACUUCAUCUUCCAGAGUUCCUCAUUAAGCAAAGCAGGAAGUCAAAGCAGGCUGUAAUCAGUAGCUGAAGUAAGCACUGUGUUGCCAGCCCGAAAGGAGCAGUAAUUAUAGGAAAUCCCACCAAAUGUCAACAGAAAUCAUAGCAAAUGUCAUAGAAAAAUGUAAGCCUUGCAGGAGGAUUCAGAACAGACAGGCAGGAGUUGUUCAAAGGUGCUGUGUAGUUGGCUUGGAAACAUUCACUGUAUCUGAUACAGCAUCUUUAAGAAACAUCUUUUCCUGAUCUGGAACACAAUCCCAGAAAAAUACAGGUUUAAGAAAUAGUUAAGGUGGCAGAAAUCAGGGAGACGAUUGCUUAUGCAUUUUUGUAAAUCUGUACCUUUAUAUGGGCUCUUGCACAUAUGUGCUAGUAGUUCCUGACUCUAGGGGGCGGUGCUCAUCUCCAUUUCAAAGCUGAAGAGCCAGCACUAUCCGAAGACGUCUCCGUGCUCAUGUGGCCAGCAUGACUAAACACCAAAGGCGCACGGAAUGUUGUUACCUUUCCACCAAAGGUGGUCCUUAUUUUUCUACUUGCAUUUUUAAGUGCUUUCAAACUGCUAGGUUGGCAGAAGCUGGGGCAAGUAACGGGAGCUCACUCUGUUAUGCAGCACUAGGGAUUCAAACCGCUGAACUGCCAACCUUUCAAUCGACAAGCUCAGCAUCUUAGCCACUGGGCCAUGCUUAUUUGUUCAUUGCUUCGUAAUUAUCUUCCGUCUAACAAGGACAGCCUCUUUAUAACUACACCUAUGAACAAUGCAGAAAGAGCCUGUCAUUACCUGCUUCAAUAGUUUUUUUUAACUUUUCACUUUACUUGAUACCUGAUAUUUUCCCAUGCGAGGACCAAGCAAUCUCUGUGACAUUGUCUAAGCAUACCGUAGAAAAUUUCAUUACAGAAUUAAAUCACAUAAAGUAAAACCUUGAGUUAAUAGAUUAUCCAAGGCAGGGAGAUCCAACUCCCCCAUUAAAUGCAAAAUCACAUUCAUGUCGAUGUACAUUUUUGUGGAAUUUAUAGAUUAUCUAUUUCAUUUCAAAUAAUGUUUCUUCAAGCCAUGAUUAAUAAUAUGUCAAGCCUCCAGGAAUCAAUUUUAACAUCUGUUUUCAUGCAAGCAACCCUGGCUUAAACUCACUUUUUUUUUUUGGGAAUAUCACUACUGUAGGAUGAAAUAAAAAUGAAAUAAAAAGCUAUAUGCAUACAUACAUGUGUGUGUUGUGUGAUUUUUUAAAAAUAUAACAACCUGAUACUUCUUGUUUUUAUAUAUUUUAAAUACCCACUCUUACUCUUUGUAAACCACCCAGAGCAUGACAGCAUAUAAAUAAAAUUAAAUGAAAUUAAACAAAAUAUAAUGGAAGCAAAGAAUACUACCAAAAUAGAACAUAAAAUCCCUUUGAAUGUUAUGUACUGAAACAUAGCUGAUGUACAAACAUAAUUUGUGAGCACAGAAUAUUGAAACGUUAUAAUAAUUACACCUAAUUGAACAGAAAUUAACAGAACUACCUGUAUAUUGUGUGCAGAUCUGCAUAAUGAAGCUGAAGCUGUUAUUUUUAGUAACAUUAGGAUAUGAUUCAUACAUUCAUUCAUAAAUUAUUGUUAUAAUUCAUAAUUUUAAGAGAAACAAAGCCAGAAAGUAAUCAGUGAAUGAAAAAUACGCAUUAUAACUUUUUACAAUUUGUAACGUUCAUGUAUCAAUCUUCCAUUAUUUCCAAAUCUAUUCUUAAAUCUGAAAAUAAGCUCCAAAAGAGGCAUUAUAAAUCCCGUCAAGCAUGAAGUGGAAGAAUCAAAAUGAUUGUUUUAUAUCUGUUCAGUCAUAAGUAGGUGACAUCUCAGUCUGUGAUGACCUUGGGGCUACUGCUAUUUAAAUGACAUAAAGCCAUCCACAAAUCCUUAAAAUCGGGUUAACGGUAACAGAGAGCAGAAAGGAACUUUAUCCGCAAGCUGCAAAAUCUAAAAGAUUUAACUAUCAUAAAACCAUUUCUUCUUGGUUAAUAGUUAGCUUGAUGAUGCACACUGAUUCUUGGUAGUUCUAAAUUUUGAGACAGUAAUAAGUUUAUUUUCUUUAGCUGAUCAGUCACUGAUCCCUUUUUCUAUAUUACACAAUCAUUUUACAGCAUGUGAUAUUGUUUUAUUGUUAACAUACUUCUUUACUGUAGCAACUUUUACCAUCUUAAAAUGAUGCUGCAACCACAAAUACAAGUGGUUAGUAUAUGAAUGUACAAAAGUCAACAAUUCAGUGCAAUGGCUUGUUGUUGUUAGUUGCCAAGUUGUGUCCGACCCAUCGCGGCCGCAUGGACAAUGUUCCUCCAGGCCUUCCUGUCCUCUACCAUCCUCUGGAGUCCAUUUAAGCUCAUGCCUACUGCUUCGGUGACUCCAUCCAGUCACCUCGUUCUCUGUUGUCCUGUUCUUCUUUUGCCCUCAAUCUUUCCCAGCAUUAGGCUCUUCUCCAGUGAGUCCUUCUUUCUCAUUAGGUGGUCUAAGUAUUUGAGUUUCACCUUCAGGAUCUGGUCUUCUAAAGAGCAGUCAGGGUUGAUCUCCUCUAGGACUGACUGGUUUGAUCGCCUUGCAGUCCAAGGGACUCGCAGGAGUCUUCUCCAGUACCAUAGUUCAAAGGUCUCAAUUCUUUGGUGCUCAGUGUAAUGGCUAGGUUCAAACAAAUCAGUAUCUUUACAAAAAAAACUGGGUGAAUGUUAUUUUUGUUUUAAAUACCAGAAAUUGUUGAUUGAAUUAAAACUGUACAACUUGUUGGUUGGAUUGUCUGGGCUUUGGGAGAUCAAUGCCAAUAUAUUGAUCAGGGUUGUUUUGCAGAUAUUUGACCCCAUGUACCAUCAAGCUUUCUUUGGUGAAAAAUUCAGAAGAGGAAGUGCCUGGCUGUAUUUGUAGUCUGCAUAAGUUUUGAACCCAGAAGUUGGUUGGUGAUUGAAGGUCUCUCUUGACCAAUCAACCUUUUAGUGACUUUGAACAUUAAUGGUCCCUUUAACAGAUCAAUGGAUCUGUAUAUAAUAAUAAUAAUAAUAACAACAGAGUUGGAAGGGACCUUGGAGGCCUUCUAGUCCAACCCCCUGCCCAGGCAGGAAACCCUACAUCAUCUCAGACAGAUGGUUAUCCAACAUUUUCUUAAAAAUUUCCAGUGUUGGAGCAUUCACAACUUCUGCAGGCAAGUCGUUCCACUUAUUAAUUGUUCUAACUGUCAGGAAAUUUCUCCUUAGUUCUAAGUUGCUUCUUUCCUUGAUCAGUUUCCACCCAUUGCUUCUUGUUCUACCCUCAGGUGCUUUGGAGAACAGCCCAACUCCCACUUCUCUGUGGCAGCCCCUGAGAUAUUGGAACACUGCUAUCAUGUCUCCCCUAGUCCUUCUUUUCAUUAAACUAGACAUAUCCAAUUCCUUCAUAUGUUUUAGCCUCCAGUUCCCUAAUCAUCUUUGUUGCUCUUCUCUGCACUCUUUCUAGAGUCUCAGCAUCUUUUUUACAUCGUGGCAUAUGAUCUAUCACCCAGUCAAGCACAUGAUCCAAACUGUAUACAAUAAACAGAUAAGGCACACCAAACAAAAUGGAACUGACACUCAAUUAAUGAUACUUAAAUUGGAAAGUUUGAUAUAUCAAUACUUGAUUUACAGUUCAUAUGCCUAGUUUGUUCAGAUUUUUUUUCUUUUUUCUCUUUUGCUGUUACUGUUUCAAAAAGUGGAACUAUGAAAGAAUUGGAGAAUUAUAUUCUACUACAUGCAGAUAAUAUGUUAUGCUUUAUAGACAGAUAUAGAAAGUGGCUUUAAGUUCUCAUACUUUCAGGCUUAUCGCUAGGCAGUUAUCCAAGUUUUGACCACUAUUCUCUAUUCUCAACUAUUCUCAGCAAAAGAAUUAUUAUUUGACCAUAGUGAAAUCCUAAGAUACAGCCUAGCCUUAAUAAUCACUAAAAUAUUAUAUUUUGGGAUUUUCCCAAUUUUGAAAAUGCAGGCAAAUCAAUCUUUUGGGUAAACUGGGCCUUUGAUAGUACUACUAUUUUAGAUUAACCUAAUCUAAAAUAAAGGGCCUUUAAACAACUUUUGCAGAAUGAAAAAAUAAAUCAGUUUUUCUCCAGAGUGCUUUUUGGCAUUUCAUUCAGCGCAAGUAUUUGUUAUACAAUCUAUGAGGUCCAGAUGGUAUUGCUACUUAUGGAAAUUCCAUAAUGGAUGGAAGUUAUGGAAGAAUUAGUCAUGGCUCCUAAGCCAACAGCCUUUCUCUUAAUAGGAAAUUGAUGAAACUGAUAUUAUUUGAUUUGAUUUCUGUCCCACCUGACUCCAACUUGACCCUACCAAUUUACUAGUUACCAAUGCAACCUAUAAGAAAGAGUCUGGCAGUACAACUAGGAUGUUAUUAAAAAGCACUUUUGUGAGUCAUAGUUCAUUUCAACAAAUGAGAUGAAUUUCCUUUCCACUGAAACCAGUGGAAGGUUGCUUUAAAUAAUACAAUAUUCAAUUCACUGUGAUCUUAAAUGUGGUCAUUACAACAAUAAAAAUAUUAUUCAAACCUCAGAGAAUAAUAAAUAACAGAGCAACUGCCUUGCUAAGAUGAAACUCAUGAAUUGGAAUAUUAACUAGUAGGGUUUGGAGUAUCCCAUUACUGUCACAUUUUGGAUUUAUACCAACAGUUAUGAAUAUGACUUUGGAUGACAGCUGUGCAUUAAAAAGGCAUAUGUUUGCCCUGGCUUUUCCCCAGUGCUUGGACAUUAUUAAGGUUUCUAGAUGUAUAGUAUAUAUUUGGGGCAUAGAGGCUGGAUAAAAGAAUUAUACAAUUACACAUGUGAAAUGCAGAUGUAGAUGGUUGGCUGUUAAUCUUUGAAAGAGGCAAGGAAAUUUUUGAGCAAGUAUUCUGAAUGUUCUCUUUAUAACUUAAUCACUUAGCUUUCUAUUUUUCUUUUGCAUUAUUAUAUUGCUAAUACUGUUUUUAUUCUGCUUUUAUUGUUAAUUAGUCCAAUAUAUGAAAGUGGGUUUAAACAAACUCUCUCUUUUAAAUGUCACAUCAGCGUGGUAAAAUACUUUUGAAACUAAGGAAAAUUUUUAUUUUAGGACACGAUAAUAUAUCAUACAAAGGAAAAUAGAUAACUUUAAAAAUAAAUACACAUGACAAUAUUUGCAGUAUACCUUAAUGAAUGAUUAUCACCUUUUUUUAUGCAGACCUAUCAUACUUAGGCAAAGAAUAUGACGCGGAAAGAAGUAAAUCUAACUCUUUUGAAAACAGUGGAUAGUCUGUGGUUUCUCUGGUUCUAAAUUUAAAUCAAUAAUAUUUUGAAACCAGUAAAAAAUUCCUCCAAACCAAUAAUUCAACUGAGCACAGUGUCUGUUCUAUAAGAUACUGUAUAAGUUCAUUAUGUAUAAACUUUUCCAUAUAUGUUUAAGGAAAAAUCUAAAUUCCAGAAAAAUAUAACCAACCAUUAACCCUGAAUUUUGGUAUCUUUCUUCCAAAUUGCUGUAAUGAGUAUAGUUUACCAGGAUUAAGGAAAAAAUAUGACACACACAUUCAAAACUCUAUGCAAAGCAAUAUGCAACAAGAGAAAUCUCUUGUGGGCAAAACUAAAAGCUGGAAUUCUAUCUCCCCCCUUCCCCCCCCGCCUCAUCAGUUGCAGAAUUACUUAGUAAAAAGUAUUCAAAAAACACACAUACAGUAAAGCUCACCAGGGCUGGCUGAAGUGGAAAAACAUCAUCAUUUAAAUAAUCGUACCUGUUUAGAAUACUAAUGAAAGAAUUUGCCCUCUGCACCUCCUAAGGCUGCUAAUUAAGCGGUAACCUUCAAAUGCUUCAUUCAAAAUGUAAAACCAUUCAAGUGAAUAGGUUUAUAGUGGAAUGUGCAGCUUCUUUUUGUGGAUAGGUGUACAAUUACUUAACUCUUAAGCAAAAAAAUAGAUAAAUUAAGUAGAAAUCCUCUGCGACAAUAACAGCGGGACAGUUGUUAUCAAAACCAAUUAACAACUAUCCAUGCUAAUUGCAAGAGAUGUCACACAUGCAAACAAAAAUACUCAUCUACAUAUAAGAUCAAAGGCAGAAUUUUGACAGGCAUUUUGUUUCUUUUCAGAAAAGCUUGAGGCGCCCUGCAGUAAAUGCAGCAUAGCUGAGUAGACAGAUCAGAAUUUUAAUACUUGGUUUUAAAAAAUA